UACAGAGGUCUCAAGCGUUGUUCGGAUUCAUUGGGCGUAAAGGGUGCGUAGGCGGCGCGGUAAGUCGGGUGUGAAAUCUUGGAGCUUAACUCCGAAACUGCAUUCGAUACUGCCGUGCUUGAGGACUGGAGAGGAGACUGGAAUUUACGGUGUAGCGGGUGAAAUGCGUAGAUAUCGUAAGGAAGACCAGUGGCGAAGGCGGGUCUCUGGACAGUUCCUGACGCUGAAGCACGAAAGG
rnacentral:rRNA from 1 species